rnacentral:lncRNA from 1 species
AUGAGCAUUAAAAUAUUAUUUUCUUUCUGAGCACAAUUAGUUAUUUUUUGUUUGUCUUAAAAGUUUGAUUAGUUCUUUACCAAAUUUUAUAUUGUCUUGCCAACGAAUUUUCUGAAGAGGGAGAACUUUGGGUUGAGGGUAUAAGAAAGGAUACAAUCAAUAUUUUGGUCAAGAAACAAAGAAGUUUAUUUUUAAAUAAAAUAAACGAAACAGGCAGCAGGUAGCAUGCUACCUUUCUCUCAAAAAAGAAAAAAAAAUAUUUUGGUCAAGAAACAUGC